rnacentral:lncRNA from 1 species
GAGAAAAAAAAUCAAAAGCAAAAAUGAAAAAAAAGAAACAAACUUUGCUUGAAGAAAACAUAAGAAACAGAACACAUGUUCGUUAUUACACACAUGAAAGAAACGAUAAAGGUUGUUGUAAUAAGGAGAGAAAAGAGACCAAUUUUAAUGGCGGUGACUCGGAAUCCACAUGAUUUUAGGAUGAGACCGAUGCUACUUGCCGUACUCGUACUCAUCUACUCCCGUAGGUUAUUUGGAGGAACUGAGAAUUGAGACCGAUUCGG